rnacentral:rRNA from 1 species
UGGGGGAUAUUGCACAGUGGGCGAAAGCGUGAUGCAACGACGCAGAGUGGGGGAUGAAGGUCUUCGGGUUGUAAACUUCUUUUGCCCUGAACAAGGCGCACCAUGGGGUGGGUUGAGUGGGGGGGUUGAUUAGCGGCGGCUAACUACGUGACAGCAGCCGCGGUAAUACGUAGGGCGUGAGCGUUGUCCGGUAUUAUUGGGCGUUAAGGGCUUGUAGGUGGCUGGUUGCGUGUGUCGUGAAAGCUCAUGGCGUAAAUGUGGGUUUGCGGUGGGUACGGGCUUGCUUGAGUGCAGUAGGGGCGGAUGGCAUUUCUGGUGUAGCGGUGGAAUGAGCAGAUCUCAGGAGGAAUACCGGUGGCGAAGGCGGGUCUCUGGGAUGUUACUGACACUGCGGAGCGAAAGCAUGGGGAGCGAACAGG